rnacentral:lncRNA from 1 species
UAGCUGUAAAUGGUAGAUGCGUGUUGUAAGACCCCAAUUUUGACCCUAAGAUCCCUCAUGGCAUCAUAACAUUGCAUUUGCAUUGCCUCAAGGAUCUUUAGCAUCUUGGUUCCCUUUGCCUUUGGGUGGGACUCCUUUUGAUUGGUUUGAGUGCAUUUGCAUUGCCUCAAGGAUCUUUAGCAUCUUGGUUCCCUUUGCCUUUGGGUGGGACUCCUUUUGAUUGGUUUGAGAUCACCAAGCAUGCUUGAAUUAUACAUCAUUGUU